rnacentral:rRNA from 1 species
GACGAACGCUGGCGGCGUGCUUAACACAUGCAAGUCGAACGGAAAGGCCCUGCUUGCAGGGUACUCGAGUGGCGAACGGGUGAGUAAAACGUGGGUGAUCUGCCCUGCACUUCGGGAUAAGCCUGGGAAACUGGGUCUAAUACCGGAUAGGAGCCAUUCUUAGUGUGAUGGUUGGAAAGUUUUUUGGGUGUAGGAUGAGCUCGCGGCCUAUCAGCUUGGUGGUGGGGUAAUGGCCUACCAAGGAGGCGACGGGUAGCCGGCCUGGGAGGGUGGACGGCCACAUUGGGGCUGAGAUACGGCCCAGGCUCCUACGGGAGGCAGCAGUGGGGAAUAAUGCACAAUGGGGGCAAGCCCGAUGGAGCGACGCCGCGUGGGGGAUUACGGCCUUCGGGUUGUAAACUCCUUUCGCUAGGGACGAAGCUUUUUGUGACGGUACCUAGAUAAGAAGCACCGGCUAACUACGUG